AUGAACGCUGGCGGCGUGCCUAAUACAUGCAAGUCGAGCGAACAGACGAGGAGCUUGCUCCUCUGACGUUAGCGGCGGACGGGUGAGUAACACGUGGAUAACCUACCUAUAAGACUGGGAUAACUUCGGGAAACCGGAGCUAAUACCGGAUAAUAUAUUGAACCGCAUGGUUCAAUAGUGAAAGACGGUUUUGCUGUCACUUAUAGAUGGAUCCGCGCCGCAUUAGCUAGUUGGUAAGGUAACGGCUUACCAAGGCAACGAUGCGUAGCCGACCUGAGAGGGUGAUCGGCCACACUGGAACUGAGACACGGUCCAGACUCCUACGGGAGGCAGCAGUAGGGGAUCUUCCGCAAUGGGCGAAAGCCUGACGGAGCAACGCCGCGUGAGUGAUGAAGGUCUUCGGAUCGUAAAACUCUGUUAUUAGGGAAGAACAAAUGUGUAAGUAACUAUGCACGUCUUGACGGUACCUAAUCAGAAAGCCACGGCUAACUACG
rnacentral:rRNA from 1 species